AGCACAAAUCCCUUACCACAAGACUCUCAACCAAGACUGCACCUUGAAAGGUGUAGCUGAAGAUGGUUCUUCCACUUUUCUCCAUGCUUUUGUAAAUGUAGUCCUCUGGUGGAACAAGUUGCAAAGCUCAUGCAGUCAUGUCUCACAUCUUUCUCUCAAAGUACUAAAGACUGCUAUUUUGAAAUAGAUUUGUAGUAUUGCAAUAGUGGUGGUGAAUUUUCAAGUCAAAAAGGGGAAUAAGCAAUGCAAAACAGAUGGUAAAUGUACAUCCAAUUUUUUAAAAUUUAUUAAAAAUUUUAAAAUUUAUUAAUAUGGAUUUUUGCAUACUACUUCUGUUUUUUACAGAUGUAUACAAAUUACAUAUUUUAACUUAUGACUUUUUAAAUAUGACAUGCUUUUUGUGGUUAUACAUGUAUCUCCAAAUUGUUUGCAACAGAAAUUCCAUCUUUACCAGUUAGCAUGCACAAUAGAGACUAUCCCUUUUUUGUUUGCCUUUUCCCUAAAACCACUACUCAAUCUCUCUUUCCACUCUACCCAACAUACACAGACUAGACUUUAUGUCUUCAAAAACUUUCUUUAUUGCCAUUUUUUUAAGACUGUAUCAGAUGAUGCUGAUACGCAAACAAGAUGAAGCUGGCUGGUGGUUGAUAAGUCACUGUGACGAAUAUUUAUUAAUCGUUGAAUGUUUAAUCAGUCUUCCUUUCUUUUGAUCAGGUUCAUUUUCUUUCUUGUUCUCAGUUCAUAAUUCUAUGGUUGAUGAUGUCAGACGAUUUAGACGCAGCAGAUGAAAAGUCAUGUUGUGGACUUUAGACCACAAUAUUUAGUCACCAGUUACAGAUAUGAGCCAGAGAAUAAACCAAAAGAAAAUCUACACAUUUCAAACAAUGCAAUAUCUUUUAUUUUAUUAACAUGCAAGAAACAACUUCAUAAAAGAAAAAAGUAUGCAUUCACCUUACUUUUCACUAUUUUUGGGGUGAAAUUUCUAUUUUUCAAAAAAAUAAAAAUUAAAAAAAAAUCUGUUAAUAGGAUUGGGGAAUUUGAACGUAUCAAUGUUUUCAAAAUGCAACUAUUUGCCUUUCAAAUAAAAAUAUAAAAAUGUAAAAAGAGCUCGCAAUUAGGGUGGGAUGACACUGUUAAAAGAGUGAACAGAUGAAAUUAAGACUUUCUCCAUUAUUUGCAGGAUCAUUUAUCUGUUUAUAAACAUCCUUUCCUGUCUGAAGGUGAAUAUGAAAAGCCUUUUCUUUUAAGAAUGCAUCCCCCACUUUAAGAUUUGUUCUGUAAGGACUUUGCAAAUGGCUUUGAUGGAUGCUGCUUUUAUACUUUAUUCUGCCCACCAGCAACUUUUAACAAAUGAUUUGGAAAACAGUAGGCACACUAAGCAAAAGAAAGACAGUCCAUGCAAACUUUCAAGACUCUUUAUCUUAUAUCAACUGUCAGUUAUCAGGCAUGCAUGAAAUUGCAGACUACGGUGCAUUGUGAUUACUAUAGAUUUAAGGAAAAGCAAUUAUUUCUUUUGGUAUACUUUUCAGGUGUAUGAAAUGAAUUAUCGUUUACAAAUCUGCUAGCACAUGGCUUUUAACUCUUUAGACUAUAAACCCUAUAAUAAAUUUACUUGAAAUUGAAAAAAGAAAGGCUGCAAGGGAAAAAGAUGGGCGCCACCCUUACAAAAGCUUUCCCUGGGAUUGGCAAGGAAUCAAUCAUAUUAUCCCCCUUAUAUAGUCACAGAACUACUUAAAAAAAAGUUGAUUAAAUGUGCAGAGUCCAGUCAUGACGGAGAUACUUAAAAGGGUGUGAACAACAGACUUGCGCCAAAUCAAGCCUUGACCAUGCUAAAGAAAUUUGAAAAUCCAAAGUUCUAAGAAGAAAUACAAAAUUUAUAAAUCUACAGAAGCAAUGUCUUUUCGAUUUUACUCUCUUGGAGUGAAUGCUGGAAGAUGUAGUGUAGGGCCAUUAGACUGCAGUCCAGUAAUCCACGAAUUUGGUUAAGCUGUGCAAAAUGCUUGGAUCCCAAUUUUUUGACACUAUGGAUUGUGUGGACCUGGACAUAGCCUCUAAAACACUUGAGACAGGUGUUGACAGCUGUCAUUUUGGCAUUUCCAAUGUCUAUGAUUGACAGCUAUGCAUGUUUACAGAUUAAAUAUUCAAGUACUGGUUUAAAACAUAUAUUUUUUCAUCAUUUAUUGUAAUUUAUGCAUUAUCAAAAAUACUUAAGCCCUGGACCUCCUAAGCCAUGGUUUAGCAGUUUGGGCCCCAAUUACUGCAGCUUAAUGGCCCUAAACUAUAUCAGAAAAAAAAAAUCAGGCAGAAUCUUGAGACCUUCAAAUCAAAUGUCUGAGGAAAGUCUUCAAGACAUUCUGGCUAAACAUAAUCACCAACAAAGAAAUCUUCAAUAGCCAACUGCACAAAAAUGGCAACCAUGAUCCAAAAAAGAUAAUGGUUAGAGCAUGUGCGUGGAAUGAAACCAGAUGAACUACAAAAGAAACAAGGUGAAGAUCAGUAGAAUACUAAAGAGCCAGAAAUAAUAAUAAACGCUGGCUUGUAUAGCACCUUAUCCUGCCAUGUGGACAAGCUCAGGGUGAAAGAAACCAACUUGAAGCAGUAUAACUUAAUGCUGACAGAAAAAUGGAGGUCUCUAGCGGAUUCCUUAUGUAACACCUAAGCAUGAAUAGGACGGAAUAAGUGUGCACAGCUCUUUUAAACAAUACCACAGCUAAUGACUAAUGUAUAUCCUGCUGGUAUAAACUGUUGUUUACCAAAAACAAACGGUGAGCACUUGCUGAACCACCAUUUCACAGACUAAAAAUAUGCUGGCACUUUUGUAAGCUAUAGCUCUGUAUGACCCGUGAGUGAAAGACAGAAAAAAGAGUGUGCACCUUAUAUAUAUGCCAAAGCAUUGUGUGUGCUUUUCUUAAGUACAACUGAAGAUAGAAAGGCCUUUCAGCAACAAUGGCAAAUUUAUUCAUGCACAGUUCUCAAAAAUGCACUUUAAAGCACAAAAAAAAAAAAACAGGUAAAAAAAUAGAUGUAUAUCAAAAUGAAGGCUGAUAAUAGAAAUGCAUUAUCACAGUAACAUCAACUUUGACAAGUCCUCUUAGACAAAAUACUGGACACAAAAGCUUUCAAAAUGUUAUGUAUGGCAAACAUCAAACAGCCAGAGGAAAAGAUGACCUUAUAUUAACAGCUCAAUGUCAUGAAGAUAUUAAAAAUCUAUACUAUUAUAACUGGCAUAAGAAUAGUGCAAGAUAAUUUAUUCUUGCCAGGACUGUCACUAGCUACUUCAAACUCUAGUCCUGAAUGCUAAUAAAACACAGUGUGUUCACAAUUAGAUGUAUAAUUAUACAGAAACUCACUAACAGCAUGUUUCUGAGAGUAAAAAGUCAAAAUAAGAACACGCAACAAAAUUUCUCUUAUAGCAUCCCAUAAACAGUUAAUUAUGUUAAAAUGGAUUUUUUUUCUGUUAGCACAUCACAAAAAUUAGGCCUCUAUCUUGUGGUUUCCUUGAAGCCCAAAGUCAGAAAUGCGAGAUCUAAACAUGACAUUCUCAUAACAAGUUGUAUUCUAUUUAAGAUAGUAUGUAUACGCUAAGCUUACUUUCAUUAUUUUUAACAUGAUGCUUAUUUCCAUUUAUUUUAAAUCUAAAUAUCCAAAAGUCCUGCAGAAGUUUUUUUCACUUUCUGGUUUGUGAAAACUACCAUGAGAAAUUGUUCCUGAUAACAAGUCUCUAAAGAAACAGUUCUUAAGUCUGCACACAUUUUGUAACUGCUUGGGGGGAACAGUUAGAUGCAGCCAAUACCAAGCUGAAUGGCAAGAGACAAUAGGAAGACUUUUUCAUUGACUAACGGUCUCGAUGUCCUGCCAUUUCCUUUGAAGUCCAUAAUUUGUAAAGUUACUUCAACAACUCUUGCGCAUCCCAUACCAUUAUAUUGAACUACUUGUUUUGAAGCUAUCAAAAGCAUAAAAAGUGGCAAAACAGAAGGCCCGGAUGGCAUGCUCCCAGAAGUACUAAAGGCUGACACAGAAACAACAAAACUUUUAUAGCCUGUCAUUCAGAAAAUUAGGGAACAAGAGCUAGUAUUGCCACUAGGCCACCUGGUCAAGUUACUGAUAAGAAGACCUCUUCCAGUGCAACAACUAGCGAGGGAUCAUGCUACUGCAAUACUAGAGAUACUGAAGAAGGCACUAGACAAGAGACUGAGACCAGAACAAGCAGAGUUAUGCGAAGAUAAGUCAUGCCCUGACCACAUUGCCACCAUCCAUAUCAUUGAGGAGUCUAUCACGUGGCAAUCCUUCCUAUAUAUAUAAAACUUUUCUGGGCUUUGACAGUAUAGAUAGGGACGUCAUCUGGAGGCUAAUGAUCCACUAUGGUAUUCCACCUAAGCUCAUAAACGUUAUCUACGGGUUGUGCGAAGACUUGUCCUGCCAAGUUAUCCACAACAGCAAACUCACUAAACCUUUUGGGAUGAAGACCUGUGUUAAGACAGGGUUGCAUAUUAUCACCUACAACCUUUACCAAACAGCUAGAGGACCGGGACUUUGCAGAUGACAUUAGCCUCCUAUCUUAUCGAUAACAAAUGCACAAACCAAACAGCAAAAUUAGCGGAGAAGACUGGUUUAAGGGUCAGCAGAAGGAAGACCGAAGAAAAUUGACAAUAGGAACUCCCAAUCAAACUUCAAGGAGAGAACAUCCUGGAAACUGCUUCGCGUAUCUAGAGGCUUUGUCAACAAGGACAGUGGAGCGGAGGAUGAAAUCGAAAGCUGCAUCAACUGAUCAAGACAUCAAAAAGGGCAAAUGGGGCUGGAUAGGACACACCCUGCGCAAACCAGCCGACACCAUUGACAAGUAGGCACUUGACUGGAACCUUCAGGGAAAGAGAAGAAUUGGGAGACCAAAGCCAACUUGGAAAAGAACAGUAGAGAGUGAGGCAAAGGACAUCGGAACCCCAUGAGUCCAACUGAGAUCAUGACAGUCGGAAAUCAGUUCAAAACUUUAGUACUAUCUCCCUGCCGUUUUUUUUCAUUCUUAAACAGUUUACUUAGUAUGCUUCGUCAAAUUUACAAACUUUUAAGCCCCUAUAAGAAUCUUACACCAUCCAAAGACAUUGUUGAGAAACUGGAUUCAACAGGUCAACCUGCAAUAUUGUAAGCAUUUACCUUCUACUGUAAUAUUACAACAACAAUUAAAAAUAAAUAUGAAGUUUUAAGCGUAAAUGCUAAAAUAGCUAAUCAAACCCAGAAGAGUUUUAACAAAAUUAUUUGGAAGUAGCAUGCAAGAUAUUAUACGCAACCUGACUUCUGGUCUACUAUCUUUUUUGUUUAAGCACUAGUUAUUCCUCAUUAGGGAUAAGUUAUCUUAGUUGAAAUUAGUUUGCACUUAAUACAAGCUUUUUUACAGUUCACUAUACACACACACUUCACUAUACACAUACAUAUAUCACAAAAUUUAGAACAUUCAUGGAGGCUUAUUCAUUUUUUUUAAACAAAAAUAUAUUGCCAUUUGUUCAAAUCAAAUCUCAUCUUAAUGUUUACUUUUACUGACACAAAAGGUAGGCAAUUCAAUCAUGAUAUCUGACAUGCAAAUAUCUGGACACACCAUGCAGUUUACACUGUUUCCAAAAAGUAGCACUACUAAAACUGUUUUGAACAGUCGACAACAUAUCAAUCCUAAUACCUGAAAGAUGGAUAGAUUAAACAAAAGAAAUGUUUACUUCUAGAUGAACAAGAAACUAAUAUUUGAAAACUGACUGUGAUGCAUAAACCCAAUGGUGGUAAACAUGAUCUUCUAAUUUUUCUAUUACAUUUAUUUCUCACAUUGCUUUCCUGCAUUUAUUUGAUGCUGAUAUCGAAUUGUGUUAUGUUUUUUUUU